AGACCUCCAACGGAUGGCUCGGCUGGUUAUCUGAGCCAUCCCGUGCUCAUGAGCCGUGACGGUCGGCCAUCUAGAGGUCUCCACCGGGCAGAUAGCCCGCAAUAAAUGUCGACCCACAACUCCCAACCACCCAUCGAACUCAUUCACUACCCCGAGAGAAAUCAAUCUCUCUGUCCUGAGCCAUCCUCAUCUCCAGCGCCGGCGUCGACGCCAUGUCUGCUUCCUCGUCGAACUCGCUCCCCAUCCCACCCGACUGGCUUCUGCCGCUCUUGCAGUGUCCACUGUGCGACGACGAGAUCGAGUCCAAUGUUGCGAGGUCAGGCACUCAGGCUGGUAAUCGUUUCUACAAGUGCAUCCGCUACGAUGCUCGUCAGUGCCGUUUUUUGAGUUCCAGCAUGCUUACAGGAGGAGGAUGAGCCCGAUGCAGAUUGGCGCCACUCAGUAGCAAGCAGGGAUGCAUCCAGGAGGCUAGAUGUUCGGCAUCCAUCAAGCAAAUGCAGCGGCGCAGUUAGUUCCGGUGAUCAACCAGCCCAGGCUCAGAUCCACCCUCAAGUCCAGCAAGAUCCACCAGCGAUAAAUAAUCAGAUUCAGCAUCCCCCUCAGGCGGCAGCGGCGGCAUCUGCGACGGGCACUCAAAGCCUUGCCGUCAUCGCAGUUCUCCUUGGUGCGACCAACAUCCGGCUCACAGUCCUGUCCUGAUGGUGGUAGUUGUGUCGGCAAACUAGAUUAGCAUGGGGGUCCCAGAUAUAUGCGUGUGAUGCGUACUAAGAAGACAGGGAGAUUUCGUGGGGUUAAUCAAGGGUGGCUCCCUCUACCGCUAAGCCUGUUUCCCUAUGUAAACCCACAUCUAGUAGUUAUGCAAGUUGAAGUGUUGUAGUCUGUAAUGGAGUGUCUGAACUUAAUGAAGCUCGUUUAAGAUUA